UACAGGGGGUGCAAACGUUGCUCGGAAUUAUUGGGCGUAAAGCGCGCGUAGGCGGCUACCUAAGUCGGAUGUGAAAGCCCCAGGCUCAACCUGGGAACUGCGUCUGAUACUGGAUGGCUUGAAUCCGGGAGAGGGAUGCAGAAUUCCAGGUGUAGCGGUGAAAUGCGUAGAUAUCUGGAGGAAUACCGGUGGCGAAGGCGGCAUCCUGGACCGGCAUUGACGCUGAGGAGCGAAAGCUAGGGGAGCAAACGGG
rnacentral:rRNA from 1 species